CAAUAGCGUAUAUUAAAGCUGUUGCGGUUAAAAAGCUCGUAGUUGGAUUUCUGUCAAGUACAACUGGUCCGCCCUCCGGGUGAGCACAUAGUUUGGUCUUGGCAUCUUGCUGGAAAUUGUUGCUGCACUUGGCUGUGUGGCGCAGUGUCCAGCACUUUCACUUUGAGGAAAUUGGAGUGUUUCAAGCAGGCAAUGCCUUUGAACACAGUAGCAUGGAAUAAUUAGAUUGGGCUUUUGCUCCAAUUUGUCGGUUUCUGGAGCUGAGGUGAGAAUUAAUGGGGAUUGUUGGGGGCAUUCGUAUUUAACUAUCAGAGGUGAAAUUCUUGGAUUUGUUAAAGACGAACAUCUGCGAAAGCAUUUGCCAAGGAUGUUUUCAUUG
rnacentral:rRNA from 1 species